rnacentral:misc_RNA from 1 species
CCCUAGCCCCGAUCGAGCAAUUGUUUGAGCUCAUUUCAUUAGAAUUCGGCGCGGCGGCUCCGCCGCCGCGCCGAAUUCUAAUGAAAUAGCGAGUGCGGAGAGCGGGAAAUAGC